GAUGAACGCUAGCGGCAGGCUUAAUACAUGCAAGUCGAGGGACAGCACAGGUAGCAAUACUGGGUGGUAACCGGCAAACGGGUGCGGAACACGUACACAACCUUCCUUUAAGUGGGGGAUAGCCCAGAGAAAUUUGGAUUAAUACCCCGUAAUAUAGUAGAAUGGCAUCAUUUGAUUAUUAUAGCUACGGCGCUUAAUGAUGGGUGUGCGGCUGAUUAGAUAGUUGGCGGGGUAACGGCCCACCAAGUCUACGAUCAGUAGCUGAUGUGAGAGCAUGAUCAGCCACACGGGCACUGAGACACGGGCCCGACUCCUACGGGAGGCAGCAGUAAGGAAUAUUGGUCAAUGGGCGCAAGUCUGAACCAGCCAUGCCGCGUGAAGGAUUAAGGUCCUCUGGAUUGUAAACUUCUUUUAUUUGGGACGAAAAAGGGCCUUUCUAGGUCAACUGACGGUACCAGAUGAAUAAGCACCGGCUAACUCCGUGCCAGCCGCCGCAGUAAAAC
rnacentral:rRNA from 1 species